CGCGGUCCUCGGUAGUGGUCUCCGGGAGAAGCCUUUGGGCUUGUACCCGUGGACCUCGAUCGAAGACCGGG
rfam:Arthrobacter alpinus strain R3.8, complete genome.